GUCAUCUUCAAGACCUUUAGGUGAUGCUGUUUUGGAUGGAAUUGAUUUUGAUAUUGAAGCUGGUGGUGAACACUAUGAUGACCUUGCAAGAGCACUUAAUGGUUUUAGCUCACAAAGGAGAGUUUACUUGUCUGCAGCACCUCAAUGUCCUUUCCCUGAUGCUCAUUUGGAUUCGGCUAUUAAUACCGGUUUAUUUGAUUAUGUGUGGGUUCAGUUUUAUAAUAAUCCUCAGUGCCAAUACUCAAGUGGAAACACUAACAAUCUUGUUAAUGCUUGGAAUCAAUGGACUUCAAGUCAAGCUAAACAAGUGUUUUUAGGUGUACCUGCUAAUGAUGCUGCUGCUCCAAGUGGUGGUUUUAUUCCUUCUGAUGUUUUGAUUUCUCAAGUUCUUCCUGCUAUUAAGGGUUCUGCUAAAUAUGGUGGUGUUAUGAUUUGGGAUAGAUUCAAUGAUGGACAAAGUGGAUACAGUAAUGCUAUUAAGGGCAGUGUUUAAUUAUUAACUAGUUUAUUAGUCUAUGUAUUUGGAAUAAGUAGCAUGUUCAUGGUAGGUUUUGUUCCUACACAUUAAUAAGUGCUAUGUGAUCACUUGGUUAUAAAUUAUAUCUAUGUAAUAAUAAGAGAGUAUUGAAAAUAAUGUGUGAUUUCCAGGAAAUAUGCAGCUUAUUUGAAUGAUACUCAUUUAAUUAAGAUUUAGAUGCUCUUAUAUUUAAUAUAUUUCAUUAUGUGAGUAACUAACUUUAAAGAAUUGUUUCAGCCUACAACCGCAUGUAGAAAAAUGAUAUUGGAUCACAAAAAUUGGGUCACACAGGGGUAGGAAUAGGGCGGGCCAAACCUUGGUUAAAUAGGUAGAUCUAGUUGAAAAAAUUAAAGUCUAAGUUUCGGCUAUUAGUUUGCUAAAGACUCUAUUUAAGUCUGUCAUGACCUUUUUAAAAGCAAGGUCUGACCUAUUAGCCUGUCUGAAACUUAAUUUGUAUUAAAAAUAUAUAUAUAUAACAUUUAACCUUUUUUUUUUUAUUUGAAGAAAACAUUUAUCCUAUUUUACGAAAUUAAAAUAGUUCUUAAAAGGCUAAUAGGUCAAUAAAAUUUUGUAAAACAUAUACAUCCAUUUUUUCCCCACUUUAUAAGCAUAUAUUGCAUGUAUAUCUGAUAAAAUUUUGUAGAGUUUGUAGAUGUUAAUAUAUAUUGUCUUUUUUUUUUGUUCAUAAUAGGGUUCCUUACUUGUGAUUCGAAAUAAGCUGAGAAUGACAAUAAUAAAAGAUUAAGAGGGGUAACGUCCAAAAGUAUGUCGUGUGAAUUGAAAUAAGAGAGUAAUACCAAGAGAGUUUUGUAAUUCAUUGGAAAUCUUGAUUUAAAGAAACCAAAAAUUUAUUAAUAUAAUGGAGAAUAUGUAAUUACACAUAUAUGGGUCGGCCUGAUAAACCUAGUAAGCUUUUUCUAUAAACCUUAACCUUACCUAUUUAAAUUAAUGAGCUUUUUAAAAAGUUUAAGCCUAACCUUUUUUUAUUUUGGUAGAUAGAUGAGAUGACAAAGCCAUCAUAAACUCACACAUAUAAAGUGGAGAUACCGGGGUUCGAACCCCGAUCAUGACGUCCGACCUAACAAUUUUGAUAUUUUUGCCAGUUGUGCUAGGACUUAUGGGACUAAGCCUAACCUAUUUAAUAGUGCCUAAAGUUCUAAAUAUCUAUAACUACUAUUUAAAAUGAAAUUUUGAAGCAAAAUUAAUUUCAUGCGAGAAAUAUAUUUUACUAAAAUUGUGUUCAAAGAGACAAAUUUAGUUUCAAUAAUCAAAACACUCGAAUUAAAGGAAACAAUGACAGAACAAAGGACUAGGUUUGGUUGCAGUCAUAAGUCACUCACUAUAUAUAAUCAGGACCGUUCCUAUAAAAUAGGAGGUUCGACUCUCUUUUUAAAAUAAACCUAAGUAAAAUAAAAACGCAAUUUUUUCUGUGUAGCUAAGUUUAUUAAAAAAUUAGAAUCAUAAGAACUUUUAAACAUGAAACAAAAUAAAAUAAAAUUAAGUGAAAGAGAUGUGAAAUUUACCUAGCGGUGUCAUUUGGAAUGUCACUCCUACGUCGUGGGAAAGGGAAAAACGAAUGGUUUAUGCGAAAAAGAAAUGAUGUGAUUCUUUCAGUGAAAUAGUUUUUCAAAUUGACUGAUUAAGUGAUUAUACAAAUUGAUGGUGGUUUGAUAGCAUCAAAUUUAUGUUCAGAAAGUAGAACUAGAAUCUAGAAAGAAAAAAAACUCAUACGUGUAUCGAAGAAAGAAAAUGAAGUAACAUGUAAUAUUUUAAUUUAAGUGGGGGUAGAUAUUAUACUUAAUUUUUUUUUAAGGUCCAUAUUUUUUAGAGGUCCAGUUUGAUUGAGCUCCUUGCGCUCUCCAAGGUCCGACCCUGCAUACAAUCAAAACAUUUAUAGUCAGUUAAUCUCAUCAAACGAUCUGAAUUUUAAAUUCAAAAUUUUGUAUUAAUCAAAAAUUAAAAAUUGUUUUAAAAUAUUAAUCGUCUGAUCCAAUUCACAUAGAAGCCACAAAUUUUAAUUGUCAGAAAAGUUGGUUGUUGGCACCUACUAGUAUAUAAAAUUAAGUAAGACCUCUGACCUUUGAGUCUUCACAUUAACGGAAAAUAAAAUAUAUAAAACAGAAUCGAAUGAAAUCAAAUAAUUAAUAUUUAAUAAAAUAAAUAAAUACAUCUAAUUUAUUUUUGAGCAAAAAUAUCAUGUUUAUUAUUCUCUUUUAAUCAUUGUAAAGUAAUAUAACAUGAAAUUUCUAGUAAUUAUUUUUAAUUUAUUACAUAUACCAACUAAUAAAACAAUAAAUUUACAUUACUCUAUUCAAUUUUUGCUGGAUUAAAAUAUCAAAAGUUCUAAGCAUCUAGUCUAGCAAAAAAAUGACGGUAGUGGGAAAGGACAAAGUUGACUUUUUCAUGUCCAAAAUAAACAACAUCCUUUGCAAAUUGGAAUCAACCAAACUUCAUUCCUAAUCAUCAAAUUUCUAAAUUGCCAUUUUUCUCAUCCUAUAAAUACCCUAAGUACAAGAAAUCAUUCACAACAUACCAAACUAGAAACAAACACUUUCACAAAGAUGGCAAAAAACUCUCACACCUUUUUGUCUCUUAUUCUUCUAUUCCUCACUCUAGUUGCAACUUCCCAUGCUGGUGGCAUAGCAAUCUAUUGGGGCCAAAAUGGCAACGAGGGAACCUUAUCCGAAGCAUGCGCAACCGGAAAAUACUCCCAUGUUAACAUAGCUUUCCUAAACAAAUUCGGUAACGGUCAAACCCCUGAAAUGAAUCUCGCAGGUCAUUGCAACCCAUCACUUCCAAAUUCAUGCACAAAAUUCAGCUCAGAAAUCAAAGAUUGCCAAAGUAAAGGAAUCAAAGUUUUACUUUCAAUUGGUGGCGGAAUUGGAAGCUAUUCUUUAUCUUCAAUUGAGGAUGCAAGAAACGUUUCAAAAUUUUUAUGGAACACUUUCUUGGGUGGCAAGUCAUCUUCAAGACCAUUAGGUGAUGCUGUUUUAGAUGGAAUAGAUUUUGAUAUUGAACUUGGUUCCACCGAAAAUUGGCAACACCUUGCAGGUUUUCUUAAAGGGUAUAGUAGAUAUGGAAAAAAGGUGUAUCUUGGUGCUGCUCCUCAAUGUCCAAUUCCAGAUAAAUUUUUGGGCACUGCACUUGAAACAGGUCUUUUUGACUUUGUUUGGGUACAAUUUUACAAUAAUCCUCCUUGUCAAUAUAAUGGAAACAUAACUAACCUUGUGAAUUCAUGGAAUAAAUGGAAUAGUAAUGUUCCAAGAGGGAAGAUAUUUUUAGGGCUGCCGGCGUCUACGGCGGCGGCCGGAAGUGGUUUUAUCCCGGCAGAUGUGUUGACUUCAGAAAUAUUACCUGUAAUUAAGAAGUCAAGAAAGUAUGGAGGAGUGAUGCUUUGGUCAAGGUUUCAUGAUGUGCAGACUGGGUAUAGCACUUCUAUUAUUGGAAGCGUGUGAUGAGUUGUUAUAAUUAAUUGGUCAAUGAUUUAGUGUUAUAUUCAUUCAAGUUGUUGUUGUUUUAAAUUAUUAAAAAACAAAAUAUUGUACUUUGAAAAGUAUGUUUUCAACUUUUAUCCCCAAUAGUGCGCAAAUGGAUUAUCCACUUUUGACUUUAAAAUCAUAAAAUAAUUAUUAUUUGCAUUUUGUUUACUGUUUGUUUUUUGCACUCACAUUGUUUCACAAUAAUUGAUCAUACAUUUCUCCCUAUCAUUCCUUCUAGGACUAUAUCCCUCUUUGUUUAUUGUCUUAUGUGGACUCCUCUUGAAAAUUUCAACUAUCUAAUACCUCCUUAUCAAUAUGACAAUCUCCUAACUCACAUUAAUAAAAAAUUAUAACAGUAAUAAUUAAUCAACAGAUGGUUGACCAUUUCAACAAAGUUUAGAACUAUAAGUUUAGAAUGAUGCACAUAACAUUAAUAAAAUGGUCUUUUUAAAGAAAGGGUCAUGUUAAGAAAGUUAAAUACAGAAUUUUUAUAUUGAAAAGAAUAAUUUCUUGAAUUUUAAAAAGUUAAACAAUUAUUAUAGUAAUAAUUAAUCAACAGAUGGUUGACCAUUUCCAGUUGAGAAUGAUGCACAUAGCAUUAAUAAAAUGGAAUAAAUGGAAAAUCCACUAUUGUAGUUACAUUGAAUUUUUUUUUUUUUAAAUUACAUUAAAAUUAGGUUUAAUUACGCUUUUGAUUCAACUCCUUUUCUAAAAUCAAUUUUUUUAUCCUCUAUGUUCACAUUUGUUGUAGUUUUGGUUCCAACUCAUAAUUGUUGUCCCAAAAAAAUGAAAAUUUUAAACGCAAAACAAAUGCUGGUUAUUGUUCCAUUUUAAAUCUAAAGAUAAAAUAUCGCUUUUAAGACCAAAACUUGUUUUUUUAUUUCUCUCCAAAAGUCAUCAUUUUUAAAGAAGAAACAUGGGUUGGGUCCAAAAUUGGAAGGAAAAAAAUAAAAUAGAGGACCAAAAAAUAUAAUUUUAAAUAUGGAGACUAUUUUCGUGAGUUUGAUCAAAUAGAUGAUCAAAAGUACAAUUAAACCUAAAAAUAAAAAUUUACAAUCUUUUUGGGACAUUUGGUCCUCUAUUUUCAAUCUCUAAUUGAAGAGAGAUAAGUUGAUUUAUUUGUUAUUGAUUUAUUUGGUCCCAAAGGUUCAAAUGCAGCAAUUAUUAAUUGACAAUGAGAGUUAUUUCUUGUUUUUUAAAGGGAGAAAUUCGGUGCUUUUCAUUAUCAAUCAAAAAAGAAAUACAUGACAGUACAUUAUCAUAAACGUAGGAGCUAGCAUUAGAUGGGGCUACCCUAGCUAACUCAUGAGCGACCCCAUUAACUUGCCUCCUAUUGAACUCGACAUGAGAGUUCUGAAAACUAUUGUCAAACAAUUGUCUACAAGCAUGCAUGAUACAUCCAAGCUCACUAUCAUCCUCUACAUAAGAUCGAAAAUGAUCAACCACUAUCUUGGAAUCUAAAGCAAAGUCAACAUUAUCAUAGUGAAGAUCUGUCAUCCACUUCAACGCCGUAUGAAAAGCUACGGCCUCACCCACAUCAACAUCGCAGAGAGGGGAGAAACAAUUUGUUUUAGCACAGAUAAAUUCACCCCUGUCAUCACGAAGACAAAUACCGAUACCCACCAUAUUCUUGGAACAGGAGAAAGAGGCGUCAAUAUUACAUUUGUAUCUGUCAUGAGCCGGUUUCGACCAUUCAACCACGUUGACGUCGGUAUAGUUACUUUGAUGCGUCAACGGGGCAUCUUCUUUUCGCGAUCUUAUGAUUUGGGUUGUUCGCCAUUCAUCCAAAAGAUGCUUUGCACGCUCAACAACCUGCAAUAUUGUUUCAUUUUGAUGUUGCCAUAACUUGAGAUUCAUGCGCUUCCAUAAACUCCACAUAAUUGUCACAAAUAAUUCUUUUUGUAAGAUAGCUGAUCAAGAAGAGUAAAAAUCAAAGCAUCCAUAUUUCUUGUUAUUGAUUUAUUUGGUGAAUUUCUUGUUAUUAAUUUGUUGUGCAAGCAUUAUUUCCAAUGUAUUUUUAACAGUUUGGAUACUCUCGAUCAAACUCUAUUUCAAUCUCUCUAAUUGAAGAGAGAUAAGUUGAUUCCAAAAUUGAAAAAAUGAUUAAGUUAAAUUAAGAGUGAUAGAGAGGGUUUAAUCUUAUGAGUUUAGCCCUGUGACCUCAAAUGACAGAGUUCAAAUCUCUAACAGCCAUUAAAGUUACUUGAAUUACUAAAAGUAUUAUCACUCAAACUUCAGAUUCGCUCAAUAUUUGUAAUCACACUUCAUGAAUCAGCUUCUAAAGGAAGUAUUGAACUCCUUCACCAGUCGUUUGAAAGAUCGUUGUCUCCUGCUUGCUGCAAUUCCCGUCUUUACUUAAUAUAAUACGAAAUCCCCAAUAAUUCUAGUGUGAUGAAACUUCCCUUAUUUUCAGUGCCAUCUUGUUCAUGUUCAAUAAUUGUACCCAAUAUAAUGCUCAUGUUCCCCGGUCUAUGCAAUCCUUGAACGGAUUGAGCUAAUUUCGCAUAAAAAGUAGUUGCAAUUCUUUAUAAUUUUGUCAAGUCUAGAUUCUGAAACCAGAUAGAAAUGCUUCAUAUUAUCAGAUAAUUGCAUCCAAUAUUUGAUCAUGUUUUGUAAUUGAAUAACCAAUUAAAAGGAGAUAAUCAACAAUAGCUUUAACUUGGAAAACUUUCUUCCAAAAUUGACACAUCUCGUCGUCCUAAACUUGAAAUGCAUGUAUCCAACAAAUUUUGAAAGCAACCAGAUGAAUGAACAACAUUGAAUAUUGUACAUGCCAUUUUGAUAUACAUCAGAUACAAAUGUUAAAGAUGCAAUUACACUCAGAAACGUAUUUCAAAAACGUUAUAGCAUUACACACAGAGUUGUGAGGUUUGUGAGAGGUGAUAACACACACCUUCAUAAGUGGAUACACACCAAAAUAAUCCUGAUAAAAUAGUAAUGUUAGGACACAUUAUUGGCCAUAAGGUAACAUCAUCAGUAUAUGGAAGGCCUUGUUCCACAUUCAUCGGCAUCAACCUCCCUCAGUUCCACCUCACGAUCUAAGUAGCAAAACUACAAGAAGAACACAGAUAUACAUGAGGUAAGAAACAUUGACAAUCAUCGCAAAUAGGAAAAGAAGAGCAAAGUACAACAUAAUGACAUUGACAGGUACACACGCAGGAAAUCAUAUUCAUCUCUCAAGUUAAUGUCAACAAACAUUUCCAAGGAAUCAUGACAAUUACUACUUUGAUGAUGAAACUAUUUCCUAUAUAUUAUAAUGCUAUUAUGAAAUGAUAUUAUAUCCAUCAUAAAUAAAAUGAAUUAUCAUAUUCUCAACCAUCUCUUGAUUCAUCAAAUAACUACUGUGAUGCAUGCAAUCAAUUGCAUUUCUUUUUCUUUUUUUAGUUUUUAUUUAUUACUUUAUCAGCCAUUAGGAAAUUGUUGGCCCAUGUGUGAAACUCAAACUCUAACACUGAGAUGUCCAUUAUCUAAAGUCUAAUAAACCCAAAAACUCCUUCGGAUUUCUAACCUUUAAAUGAAUAACUGAUUUUAACUUUCUUUACUUUUGGAAGAGGAGAUUAUAUACUAGUGUCAAUCUCCUUUCUCCCUCUUUUUUCAAAAUCAAAGAAAACGAGUAUAACUGUUUUUUCCUCUCAAAGCCAAUAGUUCAUCCCUUGCAACUUCUGUGAUGUCGCCACCAACGAUAAGUCCCCCCGACAUCACUUUCUUUGGUAGCACUUGACGAAUGUCUUUGUUCCUAUCAAAGCUAUUUUUGAUUUCAUAGGGUAUAAUGCAUUCUAUUUUAUAAGAAUAACUCAAAUUAAGAGAUAUCAUUCAAGGGAAUACUACUAGAGUUUUUUGGCUUUCUGCUUUGCACUCAUCAAACUAAUCUCUUCUAUGUGUUCAGUAUCCCUUAUCAUCAGUAUACUCAUAUAAACUUCAUUUACUUUCAAAUUAUCACGGUUCUUUUUCUAAUGUUCUACCGGAGCAUAUAUUUCAAAUUACCAACAAUAACAACAAAAAAAAAACAUAGAAAAAGGGUAGGUCGUAUUGUACCUUUUAACUUUCUUUUGAAUAAUUGUGCAAGAAAAGAUGUUGAACUCUAGCGAAGCCAGUUUGGCUCUGGCCUUAAGAACAAAUUUCAACUUAGCACGAACACGCAUAAGCUCGUCCUCAUAUUUAAGUUGUUUCUGAAACAGUUCAAGAAACCUUCUCCUUAGUUGGUCGUCACAGUUUCGCAUACAAAUCAGUCGGUCUUUCAUUCUUCUUUGAAUAUAGCACGAUUUUUCCUUCAGGUUUUUCUCCAUAAACUCAAGGUCUUCGACCACUUCAUGGCGAUACUUACGAUAGUCCUUUAAGAGUUCCAGUUCACUUAACCAUUCUCCAUCAAACAUUCUUUUGAGUUGAUGAAUAAAAACGGAGAGUGUGUCCAUGUGUUUAUCAAGUAUAGAUAAUGGAGUAUUCUGAGAUAAUAACUCUAGCAAGUCAUAGAGAUUAAAGUAUACUUGUAGACGGAAGUCGUCGUCAUUCCAAGCCAAUUCUGAACGAAAACGCCUGUCUCGAUCGUCAGUGGAGAGAAAGUUGGCGAUAGUCUCAGCCUUUUCAGCAGUGAAAGCUAGCAUGUUUAUUCUGUAAUCAUGCAUUUGUUGUCGAAGUUUUGGGGAGAAGUUCUUCAGGUCAGCUUCAUUAUCGUGGUGGUAGCUACAAGCCAUUGAUUGAAUUCCACGCAGAGGGGAGCAGAGGUAUUAGGGCUUAGGGUUAGAGAGAGUGUGGUUAAUGGUUAUAGGGUUAGACUUAGAGAUAAAGCAUUUAUAUUGAACUCAAAGCGCUAAAAUCUCUCGAAGACUAUACCGAAUUCUUAAAGAUAGAGCUGCAUAUUGUUACUCCCAACUAAAUUGCCAACGACACACAUAACUCUCAAUAGUCAAUACUCAUGUGAGAAUUAUAUCUCUGGUUACACCUAAACUUACUUAAAAUUUUACAAUAAUGUCAUAAUUAUCCUUUUAGAUAAAUUUUCUCAAAACUCUUAUUCAUUGUUACUAUAAAAUUUCACCUUUUUUCACCUACAUACUAUCAUGGAUAUUGAAUCAAUCUCGAUGAAAAAUUAAAGAGUCAAUGAUGUAACGCCCACUUUCGUUUAAUCGUUAUUUAAUCGAGAUUAGGCAAUUAUAUGAUAAUUAUAUAGUAUAUGCAUGAUUUUGGUAUGUUUUGAUGAUUUGAUCGAUGACGUGUUAAGUUAUGAGUAUUGAAGGAUUUGAUUAUGAUAUGGGAAUUAUUUUAUUGUUAAAUAAAAUAAAGAUUUGAAAAUAAUAUAAAAUAUUUAGUUGAGGGCUGUUUUGAUAUUUUAGAUAGUUUUGGGGGAGAAAGUGAGAUAAGAUAAGUAAUUAGAAAAAGAUAUAAAUAGGAGAAGACCUAAUAUUUUAGAAACUCAUUGUACGUGAAAACUUUUGGAAGAAGGGAGAAAAGCCAAGUCUAGAGGAAUCAAGGUAGAGUGCUGCGAUUUUCUUCAUUCAAGGUAAGGGUGAGACUAAUAAUUCAAUAAUGUUAAUUACUGUAAUUCUGAUGAUUAGUUGACAAAGUUAGGAUUGAUUUAGAGAAGUUUUGGAAUUAGGUUAAAACCCUAAAAAUUGAUGAUCAAACGGUAAAACUUGUUUAGAUUGAUGUAGAAACCGUCCUUUAACCUUAGAAUAUGUUUAGGAUGAAUUCUGGAAUCAAAAUUAGGCUUUGAACCAUGUUGUGUGAUGGAUUUUUGAGAAAAACCCUAGUCUGCCCGUGCUUCUGUUCAUCGCUCGCCACGGCGAGUGAUGAUCCUCGCCUCGCGAGUGAUGAACUUCAUCGCUCGCCACGCGAGCACCUUUCCUUCGCCUCGCGAGUUGUUUGGUCCAACUCGCCAUGGCGAGCAACCUUUCCUCGCCUCGCGAGCUUAGGCAGAGUGCAUGUCAUAUUUCGUGUUUCGACCUUUUUAGUUGAAUCUUGUAUGCCUUUGAGUGCCUGAACAUACCUAGUAUUGAUUAGGAAUGAAUAUAGGAUCAGAGGGAACCCAGAACGACCUUAGUUUGGGAGUUGAGUGGUACUCGCCAUGGCGAGUAAGAGCUCUCGCCUCGCGAGUACAACCCAGGAUGAACUUGAUUAUGUGUUUGUGCGAUCUGUGUCGCACUUGUUGAUCAAGAGUGAACCCCUAACUGGUAAUGAGACCUAGUGAUGUUGUUUAAUGCAGACUGUAGAGUUGUUUAAGUUAUAUUAAUAUUAAUUGGAUAAGAACUAUUGUAUUGUAUAUUCAUGCAAAAUGAGAAGAUGUGAUAAUAAUGCAAUUUAUGUGCUAUUGAUAUAAUGAUAUCAUCUUGAUAUGUGACUUGUUUAUGCUGCUUCCGUUGUUUAACUAAGUGCAUAAGUCUAUGAUGAAGUUUAGCUCCAAAUUAUUGGAUGCAUGUUGAUAAGUCGAUUACGUUGUUUUGUUCAUAUGUGUCCGUGCAUAGCAUAUCAUUGAGCUUUGUCCUCACCACGAAAAUUAGGAGCUUUGUCCUCCGCACGUUUUACAGGAGCUUUGUCCUCCGCACGAUUAAAGUAUAUUAAUACUUAUGAUGACGAUUGGUACCACAUGCAUAUAAGGAGUCUAGGAGCAUUGUCACAUUGUCAUGAUUAAGAUACCUUGUUGAUGAUGAGUGGAUAUGUGAUUACGUGAUAAGUGUUCAUUGAUUAUGUUAUGUUGUUUAUAAUGAUUGGAUAUAUGAUUACGUGACAACUGUUUAGCAUUUAUGCAAAGUUAAUAAUGGAAUGAUUAUGAUGUUAAUUUAUGAUUCGCAAUUACAUUGAUUAAUGUUAUUUUAUUAUGAAAUCUCACCCCUUCUGCUUGAAAAUGUUGCCCUUCGUAUGGGUAACUUGCAGGUGAUCGUGCUUAGUGUGCAGUUGCUUCUGUGAGUGGCCUUGCCUCUCUGUGUCGUCUAGGUCGCUCUGAUACGUAACGGGAUGGGGUUAAUGCUAUAACAUGCUUCAUUCUUUUACGUGAACUGCCAUGAUAAUUUAUGCUUUGAUAAACUCUUUUGAGAUACUUGUUGGGGCCUGCGUGCCAAACUGAUUUAUGAUUUCUGAACUAAUACUCCGCUGCUAUGUUAAGAUAUUAUGUGGAAGUUAAAUUAUUAUUUAACUGUUUUUGGAUUACGUUUCUAUGUGAUAUCCCGUUAUGGUUUUUACUCUGAUAAAUGUUUAAGAAAUUUGUAUAUUGGGAAAACGGGGUGUUACAAAUGACAACGUCUUUCAUCCAUAGUCCAUUGCAUAUAGAUAAAUGAAUUUUUUUUUUUUUCAAUGAUGCUAAGUUUCUAUUUUUUUUUCUUGUUGUUCACAUUGCUGAUAUGUUAUGCACUCUACAAGCUACGGGUAUUUGAUGGUGCAACACGCGUUAACGUUAAUUAAAUUUAAGUUUUAAGUAAACAUUCAUUUUAAGGUUGACGUUUACUUAAAUUAAGUUUAAGUAGAUACAUGUGAGCUUAGUUUAAUUACAUAACCUACUUAUAUUGAGUUUACAUGUACCUACUUAAAAUAAGAUUACGUAGAAUAAUUAAACAAAGUUGAGGAGGUUAACACAAAUUUCAAGUUAAGUAUAUAUACUUAAACUCAGUUUACAUGACCUACGUAAACUGAGUUUUGGAGUAGGAAGAACAAUGCAAAGGGUUUUGGAUGAAUUUGAAAAUUAAAUUUUAUUUAAGGUAAAUUUUAUCAUUUUAGGGUGUAACAAGAAUUAAACAAAGUGUAACUAAAAAAUUCCUCAUGUCAGCAUAUAACCAAAAAGAUAUUAUUUUACUAUUUUUUUCAAAUUUUAAAAAUCCUCUAAAAUAAAAUAUUUUUAAAAUUCCAGAUUUUUAAGUUUUUACAGGUAAAAAAAGUUAUUUAGAAAAAAAAAAAUCUAUGAUAUAUUUUUUGUUUUUCUAAGGAAAGAUAUAUUUUUUGUUGAACACUUUGGUAUCCUUGAAAUCACUCAUACUCGAAGUUACAAUGGAUGCAUUAUUCAUGAAAAUUAGAUACACCCAUUAUUCAAAAACCUGAAGAAACUUGCAAAGGAAGCUAGUUAUGAGUGCAAUGCCAUUUAUGCAAAAGAGAUCAUUUAUGUUAAGCAAAAUUAGCUUACUAGAUUACACAUCUGUCCACAUAGUACAAAAUAACUUAUUGGAUGGUUUGAAUAUGGAUUUUUAAAGAGGAGAAGGUUUUCUAGGAUUAAGCCUAUAUUUUGAAGUAUAUUCGAUUUUUAAAAAUUGAAAUAACGACAUGAUAAAUGAUCAUAUGUUAUAUCAAACACACUUAAUUCAUUUUCAGAAAACAUAUUAUGGUGUUUUUUUAUUAGGCUUAAUUGCAUUUUUGGACCCCUAUCUUUUCAAAAGUUGCGGUUAUGGACCCCUAACUAAUUUAAAUAUAAAACAGCCCCCUAUGUUUUGAUUCUUUAGCAGUUUUGGACCCCAAGGCAAAAAAAAAUAAAAUUUACAUGUGGCACCUCACUUAGGGUGCCACGUCAGCGUUGACUGAGUCAACAAUGGACUGGGGGUCCAAAACUGCCAAAGAAUCAAAACAUAGGGGGUUGUUUUGUAUUUAAAUUAGUUAGGGGUCCAUAACCGCAACUUUUUGAAAUAUAGGGAUCCAAAAGUAUAAUUAAGCUUUUUUAUUAAUAUGUAUGUAUCUAUGUAUGUAUGUAUGUAUGUAUGUAUGUAUAUUGUGUGCGGAAUUAAAAAAACAAAAAACAAAAGUAAGUCUCAAAAUCUAUCAUUAGUGAUAUAAACAUUACCCAUUAGGUUAUGUUCGACCUGCUUUGCGCUCAUGAAACGUUUCAUGCAGAGUCUAUAUCCAAACAUGAAUGACAUAUGACAAACCUUGAGGUUGUCCACACCGUCUUUUAAUACCGUAAAGUAGUAUAAAUUGAUUUUUUUUAUUCAUUUUAUGCUAUCUCGAAAUCCGUGCCAGCUUGAAUUGCCUUGGGAAUGAUGCGGUGUGGCUAAAAGUUGUUGGUUUUUGAUUGUUAAUAUAACACUGUUCAUAUUCAAAUUUAACGAAUAAACAUCAAUUUAGUCCCCAAACUAAAGAAUAUAUUAAGUAGUUCUUGAAUUAUUAUUAAUCCAUCAAGAUAAUUGCUGACACUCAUCAUUCUUUCUCUUGUUUCUAGGGAAUUCGAGGAUUAACUUGAUGGAUUUAUGAUAGUUUAGAGACUACUUAAUAUAUUUAUAUAAUUUACGAAGUAAAUUGGAGAGAUAGUGAUAGUUUGGACUUAAAUUGAUGGUUUUAUUCCAAAUUUAAUCAGGUGUGAACUAUGAGAACCAUAACCCCAAAUAAGAACUAUAUAUGUUAUUCUUUAAUCUCUUGCUCUACUUAGUGAAAUUAUAUAUAUUAUUUUGUUAACUUUACAAAUUAUAUUGUAUUUUAUUUAAUUUUAAAACACAACAUCUAUGUAACGUUCCUUUGAAAAAAAAAAUCCCUAAAUUCUAUACAUGUAUAUUACAUUUUAUCUCAUUCCAAUUUCAUUAUACGUACUAUAUAUCAUAAGUUAUAUUUGUCCAACUUGUCUACAGAUGCUAAUGAACUCUGUUAUCUCUCAUCCCUUUCUAACUUAAAUUUUGCCCUCCACGUCAAGCCACCAAUAGAAAAUGUUUGAAUGUAUGAAGGUAAAGAUUUCUUUAUCUUAUUGUCUUAGACGUAUGCAAGUUUAGGUGUGGAUAUCAGUUUGUUUUGGCUUAUCGAGUUGAAUUCUCGAAUAUGAUAUCCAAACCAAUCAAUUUGAAUUGGCUAUUUUAUUAGAUAUUAUUUUCCGCAUAUAUACUGCAUUGUCCUACAUACCAAAUUAUGUUCACGGAAUAUUAUUUUAUCUAAUUUAAAAUCUAACAUGAAUCUUUCUCCGCCUAUUUAUGAAAAUGAAAAACUAACAGAAAUAAGAUUUUAAUAAUCAUCAUACUUUUUUUUUUUUUGAUAGAUUAUAAUCAUCAUCAUACAUAAAAACUAAAUAUUUUACACCUAAGUAUAACCAUAGGUCAUUAUAGUAUCACUAUUAUAUUAUUACUUGGCAAAACAUAUGAACAUGUAUAUUUAUUUAGAUAUAAUUGGAAGCUAGUGUAAAAUAUUAUUAGAUUACGUCAAGGUGUGAAUACAACCCAUUCACAGUAUAAAUAUCACAAGUGCAAAGAGUAAUCAUUCACAAGUCACAACAACCCCAGACAUUCACAAAGAUGGCAAAGAAUUCUCAUACCUUGUCACUUUUUCUUUUCCUCACUCUUGUUAGAACCUCCUAUGCUGGUGGCAUAGCCAUCUACUGGGGCCAAAAUGGUGAAGAAGGCUCACUGUAUGAAACAUGUGCCACUGGGAGAUACACCCACAUAAACAUUGCCUUCCUCUCCAGAUUCGGCAAAGGUCGAACCCCUACGUUGAACUUAGCAGGUCACUGCAACCCUUCAACUAAUUCAUGCACCAAAUUAAGUCACAGCAUCAAGUAUUGCCAGAGCAGAGGUAUCACAAUGUUUCUUUCUAUCGGCGGUGGACUCGGAAGAUACUCUUUGUCUUCAAUUGAGGAUGCUAGAAGCUUCUCAAGAUAUUUAUGGAACACUUUCUUGGGUGGCACGUCAUAUUCAAGACCAUUUGGUGAUGCUGUGUUAGAUGGCAUAGAUUUUGACAUUGAAAUUGGUUCCACAAAAAAUUGGCAACACCUUGCACGAUUUCUCAAGGAUUAUAACGGGGUUUAUCUAAGUGCUGCUCCUCAAUGUCCAUUUCCUGAUAGAUUCUUAGGAAGAGCCCUUGAAACAGGACUUUUUGACUUUGUUUGGGUUCAGUUCUAUAAUAAUCAAGCAUGUGAUUAUAAUAAACAUAGAAUGAAUAACCUUGUGAGUUCAUGGAAAC
rnacentral:lncRNA from 1 species